UUUGGACUUCGGUCUGAGUGGCUAAGCGAAAGUGAUAAGUGACCCACCUGGGGAGUACGUUCGCAAGAAUGAAACUCAAAGGAAUUGACGGGGGCCCGCACAAGCGGUGGAGCAUGUGGUUUAAUUCGAUGAUACGCGAGGAACCUUACCAGGGCUUAAAUGUAAGUUGCAUUAGUUAGAGAUAGCUAUUUCUUCGGACUACUUACAAGGUGCUGCAUGGUUGUCGUCAGCUCGUGCCGUGAGGUGUCAGGUUAAGUCCUAUAACGAGCGCAACCCCUGUUGUUAGUUGCCAGCGAUUCAAGUCGGGAACUCUAACAAGACUGCCAGUGCAAACUGUGAGGAAGGUGGGGAUGACGUCAAAUCAUCACGGCCCUUACGUCCUGGGCUACACACGUGCUACAAUGGUAGGUACAGAGAGCAGCCACUGCGUGAGCAGGAGCGAAUCUAUAAAACCUAUCACAGUUCGGAUCGGAGUCUGCAACUCGACUCCGUGAAGCCGGAAUCGCUAGUAAUCGGAUAUCAGCCAUGAUCCGGUGAAUACGUUCCCGGGCCUUGUACACACCGCCCGUCAAGCCAUGGAAGUUGGAAGUGCCUGAAGUCCGUCACCGUAAGGAGCGGCCUAGGGUAAAGUCGAUAACUAGGGCUAAGUCGUAACAAGGUAGCCG
rnacentral:rRNA from 1 species